GCUGGGCAUGGUGGCUCGUGCCUGUAAUCCGAGCUACUUGAGAGGCUGAGGCAGGAGAAUCGCUUGAACCCGGGAGACAGAAGUUGCAGUGAGCUGAGAUCACGCCACUGCACUCCAGCCUGGGUGACAGAGCGAGACUCUGUCUCAA
rnacentral:SRP_RNA from 1 species